rnacentral:rRNA from 1 species
GUGAGGAAUAUUGCGCAAUGGAGGCAACUCUGACGCAGCCAUGCCGCGUGCAGGAAGAAGGCGCUACGCGUUGUAAACUGCUUUUAACCGGGAAGAAACCCCAGGACGUGUCCUGGGUUGACGGUACCGGAGGAAUAAGCACCGGCUAACUUCGUGCCAGCAGCCGCGGUAAUACGAAGGGUGCAAGCGUUAUCCGGAUUCAUUGGGUUUAAAGGGUGCGUAGGCGGAGCGUUAAGUCAGUGGUGAAAUCCUGCAGCUUAACUGUAGACUUGCCAUUGAUACUGGAGCUCUUGAGUGCGCUUGAAGUGGGCGGAAUGUGCCGUGUAGCGGUGAAAUGCUUAGAUAUGGCACAGAACACCAAUUGCGAAGGCAGCUCACUAAGGCGAUACUGACGCUGAGGCACGAAAGCGUGGGGAUCGAACAGGAUUAGAUACCCUUGUAGUCC